rnacentral:rRNA from 1 species
AACGAACGCUGGCGGCAUGCCUAACACAUGCAAGUCGAACGAGACCUUCGGGUCUAGUGGCGCACGGGUGCGUAACGCGUGGGAACCUGCCCUUAGGUUCGGAAUAACUCCCCGAAAGGGGUGCUAAUACCGGAUAAUGUCUUCGGACCAAAGAUUUAUCGCCUUUGGAUGGGCCCGCGUUGGAUUAGCUAGUUGGUAGGGUAAAAGCCUACCAAGGCGACGAUCCAUAGCUGGUCUGAGAGGAUGAUCAGCCACACUGGGACUGAGACACGGCCCAGACUCCUACGGAAUGCAGCAGUGGGGAAUAUUGGACAACGGGCGAAAGCCUGAUCCAGCAAGGCCGCGUGAGUGAUGAAGGCCUUAGGGUUGUAAAGCUCUUUUACCCGGGAUGAUAAUGACAGUACCGGGAGAAUAAGCUCCGGCUAACUCCGUG